AAGGAAAAACAGGGGAGCUCGUGCUGGCGGGCUGAGAGGAAGUCAUCAACUUCGACCCUUUAACCUGAUACGGAUAAUGCCGUCGUAGGAAGUGACAUCGCGCUUUUU
rnacentral:ncRNA from 2 species